rnacentral:rRNA from 1 species
AUCCCGUAUGUGACUGGUGACCAACCCCAUGUGAACCCCUUCGACGAGUCGAGUUGUUUGGGAAUGCAGCUCAAAAUGGGUGGUAAAUUUCAUCUAAAGCUAAAUACCGGCCAGAGACCGAUAGCGCACAAGUAGAGUGAUCGAAAGAUGAAAAGCACUUUGGAAAGAGAGUCAGAAAGUACGUGAAAUUGUUGAAAGAGAAGCGCUUGCAACCAGACCUGUCCGCCGGCGAUCAACCCCCGUUCUUCGGGGGUGCACUCGUCGGCGACCAGGCCAGCARGGUUCGGGCGGUCGGAUAAGGGCCGCGGGAAUGUAGCUCCUCUUGGGGAGUCUUAAAGCCCUCGGUGCAAUGCGGCCAGCUGGGACCGAGGACCGCGCUUCGGCUAGGAUGCUGGCGUAAUGGUUGUAAGCGACCCGUCUUGAAACACGGACCAAGGAGUCUAACAUCUAUGCAAGUGUUUGGGUGUCAAGCCCAUACGCGUAAUGAAAGUGAACGGAGGUGAGAACCCUUAAGGGCGCAUCAUCGACCGAUCCAGAUGUCUUCGGAUGGAUUUGAGUACGAGCAUAGCUGUUGGGACCCGAAAGAUGGUGAACUAUGCCUGAAUAGGGUGAAGCCAGAGG